rnacentral:rRNA from 1 species
AAACUGGACCGACCCUUCGGGGAGCUUGUACAGGUGCUGCAUGGCUGUCGUCAGCUCGUGUCGUGAGAUGUUCGGUUAAGUCCGCUAACGAGCGCAACCCUCGCUGUGUGUUACAAGUGUCACACGGAACUGCCGGUCAUAAACCGGAGGAAGGUGGGGAUGACGUCAAGUCAGCAUGGCCUUUAUAUCCUGGGCUACACACACGCUACAAUGGGAAGGGACAAUAGGUUGCGAAGCCGCGAGGCGGAGCCAAUCCAGCAAAACUUCCCUCAGUUCAGAUUGCAGGCUGCAACUCGCCUGCAUGAAGUUGGAGUUGCUAGUAAACGCAGGUCAGCCAUACUGCGUUGAAUACGUUCCCGGGGCUU